GUUAAGAAUCUUGCACAAUGGGCGAAAGCCUGAUGCAGCGACGCCGCGUGAGCGAUGAAGGCCUUCGGGUUGUAAAGCUCUUUUCUGGGAGAAGAAACCGGUGCUUGUCACCGACUGACUGUACCUCAGGAAUAAGCCUCGGCCAAUUACGUGCCAGCAGCCGCGGUAAGACGUAAGAGGCGAGCGUUGUCCGGAAUCACUGGGCGUAAAGCGCGUGUAGGCGGCUUGGUAAGUCGGAUGUGAAAUCCUCGGGCUCAACCCGGGAACUGCGUCCGAAACUGCCUCGCUUGAGAGCAGAAGAGGAGAGUGGAAUUCCGGGUGUAGCGGUGAAAUGCGUAGAUAUCCGGAGGAACACCAGUGGUGAAGACGGCUCUCUGGUCUGUUUCUGACGCUGAGACGCGAAAGCGUGGGGAGCGAACGGGAUUAGAUACCCCAGUAGUCC
rnacentral:rRNA from 1 species